CGAACCAAAACCCCGAAGUGUAAACUCAAGCGCGGGUGAGGAUACGCAGAUUCUCAAAUCCUGAAACAAAAUCCUGAAGUGUAAACCCAAUCACGGAAAAUGUUUUGACAGUGGAGACUUAUUGGCGGAAAAUUUUCCCUGACAAAACCCGGAGCAAAAUCCCGUGAGAAAUCCCGCGGACACGUUUUCCGAACUGUAAACCAGCCUUAAUGGCGGCUUGUCGCUGUGUAAAAAUCAAUCGGUCACUGUGGUCACUGUACUGUUUGACACUAUGCCCAACUGUUUAAAUUUAUUUUCUCGUUUUUCAAUAACUUUGAGUUUACAGUAAGCAGUGAAUCUGAAACGUUAUUGACCUAUUAACAGCAAUUAAUCGCAAGAAAGAGCAUCUUAUUUCAACAUCUCGACGGUUUCAACGGAUUUCAACAUCUCGACGAAUUAUUAUUCGGUCCGUAAAUGUGGGGUACCAAGUCGUGCUAUUUAUUGUUCAUGUUGAUGUUGAAACCAACGGUCAUGAGGAAGCAUUUCGCUGCAAAAGUAUAUCCCUUAGCACCAGGUUGUAUGAAAAAUGUAUGGCCGAUUAAUACCCAGUCUAGCAACUAUACCGUGCUGCUAAAUCUAAAAAGUGCAGUAGAAGUAGAACCAGACGAGGAACCAGAUACGAGUGAAUGGAAAGGCAGGAUGUGGUAUUUAAGGAGGAUUCAUCUGCUGAGUAGGAGUUGAAGAACUGAGAUGGGCGUGUAACAGGAAGGGGAACUACAGCGAAAUAAGGACCGAAACUUGUGUGUUCUGUCUUGAUUCUGGAAAAUUGCUGUUUCAUCGCCUGCCAAAACCGAUUAUGAGUGGAAAAAU